rnacentral:rRNA from 1 species
AUUGCACGCUGGCGGCAGGCCUAACACAUGCACGUCGAGCGAGCGGCGGACGGGUGAGUAAUGUCUGGGCAACUGCCUGAUGGAGGGGGAUAACUACUGGAAACGGUAGCUACUACCGCAUACCAUCAGAUGUGCCCAGAUGGGAUUAGCUAGUAGGUGGGGUAACGGCUCACCUAGGCGACGAUCACUAGCUGGUCUGCGAGGGUGACCAGCAACACUGGAACUGAGGCACGGUCCAGACUCCUACGGGAGGCAGCAGUGGGGAAUAUUGCACAAUGGGCGCAAGCCUGAUGCAGCCAUGCCGCGUGUGUGAAGAAGGCCUUCGGGUUGUAAAGCACUUUCAGCGGGGAGGCGUUACUCGCAGAAGAAGCACCGGCUAACUCCGUGCCAGCAGCCGCGGUAAUUC